GGCUAAAGCGGGGGGUCCUCGUCCCUUCCACGGGAGGAGGAAAGGAGCCAGGGCAAGGAGAGAUCCCCUCGAGGAAAUGAGAACCCCAAGGCACCUCACUUUCACCACUCUGGUCACAAUGUUUCUGGCAAGCGUACUCUUAGAGCUCAAAGAUGAUGCAGGUGAGACUUUUUGAGAAUCUGGAU